CAGAGAAUAGUUUAUAAAAAAUUGUAAUUUUGGGGAUUAUAGAAAAGAGUUUUCUUUUCUCUGA
rnacentral:tRNA from 1 species